rnacentral:rRNA from 1 species
AGAACGAACGCUGGCGGCAGGCUUAACACAUGCAAGUCGAACGGGCGUAGCAAUACGUCAGUGGCAGACGGGUGAGUAACACGUGGGAACCUUCCUAGGGGUACGGAACAACUCAGGGAAACUUGAGCUAAUACCGUAUACGUCCGUGAGGAGAAAGAUUCAUCGCCCCUAGACGGGCCCGCGUCGGAUUAGGUAGUUGGUGGGGUAACGGCCUACCAAGCCUACGAUCCGUAGCUGAUCUGAGAGGAUGAUCAGCCACACUGGGACUGAGACACGGCCCAGACUCCUACGGGAGGCAGCAGUGGGAAUCUUGGACAAUGGGCGCAAGGCCUGAUCCACGCCAUCGCCGCGUGAGGUAGGAAGGAAGGUACGUUAGGUUAGGUAAGUAC